GACAGAGGGUGCAAACGUUGUUCGGAAUUACUGGGCGUAAAGCGCGUGUAGGCGGCCCUGCAAGUCGGAUGUGAAAUCCCACGGCUCAACCGUGGAAGUGCAUUCGAAACUGCAGGGCUAGAGUCCUGGAGAGGAAGGUGGAAUGCUUGGUGUAGAGGUGAAAUUCGUAGAUAUCUGGAGGAAUACCGGUGGCGAAGGCGGCAUCCUGGACCGACAUUGACGCUGAGGAGCGAAAGCUAGGGGAGCAAACGGG
rnacentral:rRNA from 1 species